AUACCGAACCUUCUCUAGACACUGCAGCAUGUGUACUGCCGUUGUAAGCAUACCUUUAAAAGAACAAGUAUGCUUCUAUGACUAACACAACCUAUUAGCUCAUAUACAUCAGGUCAAAGUGCAGCUAAUGAGAAGGUGAUGAUGGGUUACAACCCUAAAAUAGACUAUCAACUAAGAAAUAAAAAAUCUUACGAAAGUGGACUUGGCCGUAAUUAAUUUCAAAUUAAAAAAAUGAAUAAAAAUCUAAGACAUGUACACAUCGCCCGUCACUCUAUCCUAAAGGUUAGAUAAGUCGUAACAAAGUAGGUGUAAUGGAAAUUGUACCUGUCGAAGUAUAGCAUAUACAAUGCUUUUUACUUACACUAAAAAUAAAGUUAUACAACUUGCUUCGCCCACGUAAUAUUAAUCUUAUAAAGCAUAAAAUAAUAAAAACAGUUAAACAAAAUUUAAUUAACAAAUAAGUACAGAAAUGGAAACAAUAAUAUAUAAAAGUAACUAUUGACAACUGUACCUUGUGCAUUAUGGUUUUACAAGAAAAUAAUUAAAAACAUUAAUCCCGAAUUCUAAAUGAGAUGUUAAACUGCUGUUAUGAACCCAUUAAUAACUGUAGAAAAAGUUUUAAAAGACAGUUUGACAGAGGCUACAUACCAUUCGCAUAAGAAUAUAGCUGGUUUUCAACAAACAUUAUACAUUAAAACAUGUAAUUAUAUUAUAGUGUAAAAUUAUUGAGGAUAAGCCCAAUAAUUUAAAGCAAUAUAAACACAAAAUCCAUUUUCUAUUAUAGGCCUAAAAUCAGCCAACUAAAAUACUUUACCGUAUAAAAUAAAGAUAAAAUGAAUAAAUACAAACAUGCAAAAGAUAGUUGAAACAAUGGAUAAACCACAUGUCCCACUUUUACUAUGUAAAAAUAAGUAUUAUAAAACUAAAAUAACCAUCACCUGGUGACUAACAAAACACAAAAUAAUAAUAAUUAAUUAAGGAACUCGGCAAACAAUUAUUUCGACUGUUUAACAAAAACAUUGUCUCAUGAAAAUUCAAUAU
rnacentral:rRNA from 1 species